rnacentral:rRNA from 1 species
GAUGAACGCUGACAGAAUGCUUAACACAUGCAAGUCAUUGGCGAAGCUGCGCUUGCGCAGUCUAGCCAAGGCGGACGGGUGAGUAACGCGUAAUGAACUUGCCCUGCAGACAGGGAUAACAGACGGAAACGACUUAUAACACCUGGUAUUAUCAGGCUGGCGCAUUCCGGCCUGAUGAAAGGAGACGCUGCAGGAGAGCCUUGCGUCCUAUUAGCUAGUUGGUGGGGUAACGGCCGACCAAGGCGAUGAGAGGUAGCCGGCCUGAGGGGGUGAACGGCCACCAGGGGACUGAGAUACGGCCCUUACUACUACGGGAGGAAGCAGUGGGGAAUAUUGGACAAUGGGGGCAAAACUGAUGAAGCAAUUCUGUGUGGACGAAGAAGGUUUUCGGAUUGUAAAGUGCUUUCAGUAGGGAAGAAGAAAGUGACGGUACCUGCAGAAGAAGCGACGGCUAACUACGUG